rnacentral:rRNA from 1 species
AGUGAACGCUGGCGGUAGGCCUAACACAUGCAAGUCGAACGGCAGCACAGUAAGAGCUUGCUCUUACGGGUGGCGAGUGGCGGACGGGUGAGGAAUACAUCGGAAUCUACUUUUUCGUGGGGGAUAACGUAGGGAAACUUACGCUAAUACCGCAUACGACCUACGGGUGAAGGCAGGGGAUCUUCGGACCUUGCGCGAUUGAAUGAGCCGAUGUCGGAUUAGCUAGUUGGCGGGGUAAAGGCCCACCAAGGCGACGAUCCGUAGCUGGUCUGAGAGGAUGAUCAGCCAAACUGGAACUGAGACACGGUCCAGACUCCUACGGGAGGCAGCAGUGGGGAAUAUUGGACAAUGGGCGCAAGCCUGAUCCAGCCAUACCGCGUGGGUGAAGAAGGCCUUCGGGUUGUAAAGCCCUUUUGUUGGGAAAGAAAAGCAGCAGGUUAAUACCCCGCUGUUCUGACGGUACCCAAAGAAUAAGCACCGGCUAACUUCGUG